CCGAGCUGGGAGCUCACUCCUCGGCUCCUUCUCUGUAGCCGGCUUUCCCGUUCUAAUACCUGUAAGCUCUGCGACACUAGGUCAUCCCCGGUCCUUCUGUGACCCUGCGGGACCUGAGGCCAUGCUGACCCCGCGUGGGCUUCACCCCGGUUUAGCCUCUCCAACGAUGUCCCUCAGCGGAACAGACUUUUAAAAGUCCUGAUUUUGUGCUCCGUUGCUCCGCCGCUUGCCGGGAGCCGGCCCCUCCCCCUGGGGUCUAUCUUCCCGUCGCUUUGGAUUCACUUCACCGCCAGUCCUACCUUUCAGAAAGUGGUUGAUUUUCUGUUUCUAGAAUUACUGUUCUUCUUCUCUUCAAUCUCCCGUUGGAUUUGUAGGUGUUUGCAAUCUUUAGAUAAGCUAUCUAGCUGCUCUCCUGCUAGCUAAAGUAGUCUCAGCCUGCUACUUCUUUGCCAUCUUGACUCCUCUCCCAUUUUGUAAUUUUUUAAAAGAAUGUGGUGAUGUUGCACAUCCUGCAGUGGGUGAUAAAUGUUUAACAACCAGAUCUUCAGGAAAGAAAAAUGCUGUAUUUGUAGUGAAUGCCAAUUUCUCUGGUGUAAAUAUGCCCGCAGUGGUUAUUUCAUGUGCAACAUGACAUCACAAACUUGCAAAAUUCCUGAACAUAUAAAAUGACCUUUCAUGAGACAGCACUAGCUGACUCUAGUGUACCAUGGCUCACAUUUGACAUGAAGUGAAAAACCACAGUGACAACACAGGACCAGAAGCUUCAAAGGAAGGCUAUCUUGAAUAAAAAUUCUGGUUCUGCAACUUAUUUGUUGCAUGACCCUGGACAAGUUAGUUUUCUAAGUCCCAAGUUUUGCAUAAGUAAAGUGGAGACAAUAAUACCACUUUAAUGGGUUAAGUUUCCCUCUUUUUCCCAAUCAUGUAUUCCCAAAGCACUCCAUAUUUCCUCUAUUACAAGACAUUCCAUAUUCACACUGACUUAAUCACCUGCCUUCUUCACACUACUGCGAGCUACAUAAAGCAGAGCCCUUCCUUGCUUUUGGACUCCUAUCUCCAGUGAUCAGCAAAGUUCCUGGGAUUAUAGGAAGGGCUCAAUAAUCACAUGUUGACCAAAUAAAGGACAUUAUGUGUCUAUUCUUCCCUUCUUCACCCAUGGCAGACAUUAAUAACAAAUCAUAAUACUUGGCUACUAGAUGACAAGUUAUUUCAGAAAAUGGCACUGUAGGGAGCCACUACCCAAUAAGCUGGAACUAGCACUUCCCAUGAACCUAUUUUCCACCUUGUCAUAAACUCUGCCAAUAAAGGAUCCUGAGCCUAAAAAAAAAAAAAAAAAAAAAAAAAAAUAGAGCAACCAGGGCUCAGAAACCAACUACAUUAACUGCUCUGCUGAAAAAGAAAAUCAUGUUUUAUAAUUUGGAUAGGACUUGGACGGUAAGGCCUGAAGAGGAGAGGAAAAAGAAGAUAAAGGAAUAACUGGAUUUCCAAAGUUUGGCCUCUUGUCAGCUGCUCAGCAGAGGAGGAACCUGGAACCUUCCAUCCAUUGUAUCUUCUCUCUAGCUGGCGCUAAGAACUGCCUCAUCCUGCAGGCUCGCCUCAGCUACUAAAACCCACCUACUCCCUCCCACACCAAGGAGGGAGCUGUCUGGAGAGCCACCACAAGUCUGAUGAGUGCUGAAGAGGAUAGUGUCCUCAGGCAAAGAGGUGCCCACUAAACAUUCUCCCAAGAAAUCUGGGGUCAUGGGACCCCCUGGCCACUGCAGAAAGGAACAGACAGAGCUUUUCCACCCACAGAUGAUAUACAUGUGGAAGAAUUAUCUUUCAAGCAUGAAUGAAGCACAUGUAAGAUCUCAACCUUUCUGUCAUCUCUGUCAGUUGUGGUCUUAAAGAUGGGCUAAUGACCCACUUGCUCAUUCUCUUGGCUAGCAACCUGGGGGACAUUCAUCAACAUUUCAUGCUGUGUAAGGGAUGAGAAAGUAAGUCAGACUUCAGGCUACCAAAAGUAUGGCAUCCUGGUAAACAACCGAGUUGGAAGGAGGAUAAACAAAUUCCAUCAGACGGGAACAUUGUCUUGUUGACUGCCUACUCCUCCAUGAAUGUCGAUAAGCGCAGGGGGGCCACGGAGGAAGUGUAGGAGGAAUGAAACUAUUCCCCGCUCUAGAAAAGUACCAUGUGAUGCUCACCUAAGCCUCAGGUGCCCCCUCGUUCUCAAGGUCUCAUUAAUUCCAUCUUAGAGAGAGAGAGAGCAUGAGCAAGGCGAGUGAGAGAGAGAGAAGCAGACUCCCGGUUGAGCAGGGAGGGAGCCUGAUGCAGGGCUCAAUCUUAUGACUCCGGGACCAUGAACCGAAGGCAGCACUCAACCGACUGAGCCACCCAGGUACCUGGACACUUGUUUUUCUAAGACGAGAAGGAGGACUGGACCAGGAAGACCAAGCCAUAAAAUUUUAUCCUUUCACAUCCCUGAUUCUAGCACUGACUCAGCUAUGCAGAUGCCAGAAUCCCAAAAGAUGCUUAUACAUCAUACUGGUUAAUUCCAGGAGAGAAAAAAGGGAAUGUAGCCAAUGACUGCCCUCUUAUCU